GCAGGGCUCAUUGCCGAGUUCCUGAGGAGAAGGCGCAGUCACCGACCGUCCUCGGCUGCUCUCCGGGAGGCGCUCGCCGAGCCGGUCAAAGUGGCCCUUCCUCGGCGAGGGGCAGUAGUCCCAGCUGGCUGUGAAGGCACAAAGCGGCAGCCUCCAUUCUUAACACCUCCUGUUGAAACCUGAAGGGUCCCAGUGGACAACAGGUUGCUGUGAAGGGCCGUGAGAGUUACCAGUGAACCCAAUGGGAACUCAUGUUUAUAUGUCACCUAUAAAGCAUGUGUUUGGGGAGUUUUGAGGGACACUACCAAGAGUGGUGAACCCCCUUCCCCGAGGAAUAGCUCUGCCUUUGCUGUCUGUGGACCCAGGUCUCACCUCCAUGGCCUGGGCAGAUGCCUUCCAGAAAGCUCUACCUGCCUUCCCUCAAGGCAGCCUGCUCCAGGGAAAGUCAGCUCAAGGCUGACCAAGCUUUUCACACGGGUUUUGUAAGGCUGUAGGAGAAACCAGAGUGUGGGGUAAGAAACAGUGGAAUCGUUAUCUAAACCCCAAAUAGCAUGGUACUAACUCCUACUUCUGUCUCAUGUUCAGGACUGAGGAACCCUGCAUGCCCCAGUGGUGGGGGAUGUAGUCAGGAGGCAAGGGAGGAGCGUAUCACCUCAUCUGCUUACAACAAGCCCAGGCCAUCUGGCAUGGGACGGGUAUGGGCAUAGAGCAUAUGAAUCACCCUGGACGUGUAGAAGUUCUGUGAAGAAGAGCUGUUUGUGUCAGAGGUGCUUUAAUGUAUUAAAGCAUUGGGACUACUACCAUCUUGUAAUAAUGACUGGCAUUCCCUGUUCUUUAAGGCUGGGAUGGAAAGAAUGUACCCAAAGAACAGAAUGAAUCCUUGGAUUUUCAGUUCUGGAGGUGAUCUUGGCUCCACAAAUCUGUACAAAAAUUAUAAUACAGGACAGUCAAUUGCUUCUGUGUUUGUGUGGCAGUGGACAAAAGGAGCCUUCAUACCUACCCUGAUAGGCUUUUUUUUGUGAAAAAAAUCACAAAAAUGUGAAAAAAAAUCACAGAAAUGUGGUGUGAUAUAAGAAAAUGCUCUUAGUGUUAUUUCUGAUGUUCUAAAUGAAAAAUAAAACCUGAGUGUUUUACAUUAAAAAAACCAACACAUCAGAACUAUGUUUGCAACUGAGGUCAUCGAGCAGUAUUAGAUUUGAGGAUUCUGAGUAAGAUUUUACACUUAUAUUCAUUUUAAAACUGGCUUAGCAAUGGCAUUAUAUGCAUUUUACACUGUUCUGAAGCAUGAACAUUGUCUGAAACUAGUAAAACAUAGGGGAAGAUUUUGUGAGGUUAAAAAGGCAGAGGAGACCUAGCAAGAGGAUUUGUUCUUUGAUCCAAGAGAUAAGAGACCAGACUUGCACAGACACUGAGCCCUUGGCUCCCACUGGAGAUCUGUAUACCCAGCAUCUCAGUCUACCGGGCUUGGAAUAACUCGGAAAUCUGGAUGGCAGCCAACACAAGACAUUUUUAUUUGAAGCAGUCUAUGUUUUUAAUUUGGUAAUGAUUUCCUCUAUAUGUAUAUUUAAAAAAAAUCCUAGGCAGUUCUGUGAAGUGCACAUGCUUCUCAUUGUCGGGGUGAGGGUACUGAUUGUGGUGCUGAAAGAACUGUGGUGAGGAAAGAGUUUCAGCUGAUGUCUCCUGGCAUUCUCAACCUUUAUCAAAUACGGGAGCUCUGCGAGUUAGAUGUGCGCUCACGUGGGUAAGUACGCUUUGGACAGGAGGAUAAACAUGGGCUCUGGUGUGAGAAAUACACGUCAGAGAAUGAUAAAGAAACUAUUAUGUAAAGGUGAAAGUCAGAUCAAGAUAGUAAUUAACGUUGCAAUACAUUUAUUUCUUCAAACAAUGGGAUUCUUAACUGCAUCUUAGCUUUGGGACAAGUCCUGCACAUUCCUACAAAGACACCAGUGGAAGCUGCCAUUUCCUUGAAUUUCAGGUGAACUUCUGUUUUGAGUGGGAAAUCAACCACCCUAAUAAAGCUUAAGACUUUUCUCAUCA